rnacentral:rRNA from 1 species
UCCGUAGGUGAACCUGCGGAAGGAUCAUUAUUGAAUUCAAAUCAUCUGUGGCUUCGGUCCGGAUGUGCCAACAGGUAACACUGUUGGUAAUUCUAUCCAUAACACCUGUGAACUGUUGGAUGCUUGCAUCCACUUUUAUACUAAACAUUAUUGUAACAAAUGUAGUCUUAUUAUAACAUAAUAAAACUUUUAACAACGGAUCUCUUGGCUCUCGCAUCGAUGAAGAACGCAGCGAAAUGCGAUAAGUAAUGUGAAUUGCAGAAUUCAGUGAAUCAUCGAAUCUUUGAACGCACCUUGCGCUCCUUGGUAUUCCGAGGAGCAUGCCUGUUUGAGUGUCAUGAAACUCUCAAACCCAAGUUUUGGAUUUCGAUCCAUGCUUGAGUUUGGAUUUGGAUGUUUGCCGGUGAUAAGCCGACUCAUCUUAAAAGUAUUAACUAGAUCUGUCUCUAUGACUGGUUUGACUUGGCAUAAUAAGUAUUUUGCUGAGGACAUCUUCGGAUGGCCAGGACCUAGACUAUUGUCUGCUAACUAAACCAUCACUUUAAGUGCAUCUUUGGAUGUUACUCAUUGUGUAACUUUGACAUCUGGCCUCAAAUCAGGUAGGACUACCCGCUGAACUUAAGCAUAUCAAUAAGCGGAGGA